rnacentral:ncRNA from 1 species
UUAAGGAAGUUUGGCACCUCGUGCGGCAACGCACGUGUAAAACUGGGUGAAUUGCUGGAAAGCUAAGGGCGAAAGCCUACGCCAAUCAGCAGCGAAGCCGCGAAAGCGGAACGUUCAGAGAUCAGUGGAUUACCACAACUAGGACCGAAGCCGGUCCGAAGCGCCCAGCCCCCUAUGGGGUGAAGAUAUGAUCCGAUCUGCCGGGAAACCGUCAG